CCUACGGGCGGCUGCAGUGGGGAAUCUUAGACAAUGGGGGCAACCCUGAUCUAGCCAUGCCGCGUGAGUGAUGAAGGCCUUAGGGUUGUAAAGCACUUUCAGCGGGGAGGAAGGCGUUAAGGUUAAUAACCUUGGCGAUUGACGUUACCCGCAGAAGAAGCACCGGCUAACUCCGUGCCAGCAGCCGCGGUAAUACGGAGGGUGCAAGCGUUAAUCGGAAUUACUGGGCGUAAAGCGCACGCAGGCGGUCUGUCAAGUCGGAUGUGAAAUCCCCGGGCUCAACCUGGGAACUGCAUUCGAAACUGGCAGGCUAGAGUCUUGUAGAGGGGGGUAGAAUUCCAGGUGUAGCGGUGAAAUGCGUAGAGAUCUGGAGGAAUACCGGUGGCGAAGGCGGCCCCCUGGACAAAGACUGACGCUCAGGUGCGAAAGCGUGGGGAGCAAACAGGAUUAGAUACCCUUGUAGUC
rnacentral:rRNA from 1 species